CUCUCAAUUGGUUAACACUGCCUAGUAAAAAGGAAGUGUGGAAGAAAACAGUUCUCUGUAUGAAGGAAAAAAGAACAAAUGGUGGAUCUCUUUGGGUUUCAGUGAUAGAGAUAGAGAGAGAGAAAGAGAAGAUAGAGAGAGACUGUGGUUUGUGUUGUGUUGUGUGUAUGUGUGUUGUGCAGAUCGAAACAGAGGCUUAAAAUGGACGCUGGGCAAUCAGAGAUUUGGGUUUACCAUAACAAAGUUUUUGAUUUUGAUUUUUUAUUUUUUACUAUUUAUGGUAAGGAAGUGACAUUUGUAUAACCUACAUUCAUGAAUCUAGGGUUUUGUAAGAGUAAGAUUUUCAAAAUCUUGAUAAGAUUAUUAUGAUGAUAGUAACGCAACAAGAUCUAAUGUCACUUAAUUAACACUCAACCAUAGUUUAGAAGAUAGGUUAGGUUAAAGUUUGAAACCAAGAGCAAAGAGACGAGUGGAAUUUGCAUGGUGAACAAGUGUUGCAAAAGUUCUGUAUCUUCCUUUUUUCCAGAAUUCAAUGGCGUCUUCCUCUCUCUCUCUACCACAUUAAACUCUAGGUUUUAAAGUCCAUUUAACUCUCAUUACUUACUGGUCAACAUGUGAUUUGUAUAUACGUAGAUUCUACGACUUAUUUUUAGGGGAAAAGAACAUUUUGUGACCAAGAAUAAAGGCUUUUUGUUUCUACAGACUCAGACGAUAACUGAUUUGGAAGAGAAGAGGAGGAUUCAUUGUACCUUUGAGAUUACUUGACUUAGGUUGAAAUAGCAAAUUUGUCUCAUAGCUUAAAGCUAGAAUAUCAAACUCCAUACGAAAAUCGUUACUUGAUUUUCAUUUAGUAACGCCCGUAUCAGAGAAAAAAUGGAAAGUGAAUGGAACAAUAUAUAUUAGUUAUACAGAAAGAAAAAAAAAUGUAAUCCACCAAAGAUAUGUUUUUUUAUUAAAAUUAAAUCAUAGAAAAUAAAGAAACAUGAAUUGGAAUUUGUAAAGUUAUGCAUCUAGAUAAUACUAUGGAAAUGUGUUAUCAUUCGUUAAUCAUUCAAUAUUCUACGAAUUGUAGAUUACGACAUAGUUAUGAUAUUUGUUAGUACAACCUGACAACAAUUACUUUAUUAUAUACUUAGAUUGACAAAAAAAAUUAAAUCAGUGCUAUUAUUUAUCAAUCUAUAUUGUUGUUAUUUUUACUAACAAAUACCAUUUAUAUGUCAUAAUCUAUAAUUCGUGGAAUGAUUUUUUUUUCUUUUUGUCAACAACUUUUAAUUAAAAAUAAAAAAAAUCAUUCCUGGGAAAUGUUGUUUACAUAAGUGAUAUGAUGCGGUUCGGUACGAACUUUUCGUGCCAAAUUAUCCGCUUUAACAUUUGCACUACGAGGAAUUCGUGGAAUGAUUGAUUAACGAAAUGAAUAACACAUUUUCCAUGGUUUUUAAACUAGAUGCAUAAUUUUUCAAAAUUUCAAUUAUUGUUUCGUUAUUUUUCUAUGAUUUAAAUUUAACAAAAAAAACAUAUAUGUUUGGUCGAUGAAGAUUUUUUUCUCUGAAAUUUAAUAAAUAUAUUGUUCCAUUCUACUUUAAUUUCCAUUUUUCCUGAUAAGGGAGUUACUAAAUGAAAAUCAGGUAACGAUUUUGGCAAUCUAAGUAAUAUACUAAAAUAAUUUUCGACUCUGUACGGAAUAUUUUCGGGGAAAGUAUGGGGUGAGGACAAGUGGAAACGAUUCUCUCCAAAUUUAAUAAAAGAUUCUUCUCUCUUUUUAUCAUGACUUUAAAACUCUAAUUAAUCUGCUAAAACAAAAAGAAUAUUAAAUAGUUAUUCAUUUUAGCGUACACUGUAUAUGUAUAAUGAAUUUUUUUUACAACUAUAAUGAUAGUUCAUGAUUUUUGAAUGAAAACUCGUCAAUCAAUAUUGACAACUAAGUAAAGAAUCCUUUAGUUAUAAUUUUAAAGUUCAUAAAGAAAGAAAAAGAAAAAUUCACUCAUUAAAUUUGGAGAGAAUGGUUUCCACUUAUCCAUGAAACAUUUUUCAUUAUAACACAAAAGACGUAUAAUUAGCAAAUCGAAGCUAUAUUUCAUUUGAUUUUACUUGACUUUUGUUUGAUUAGAAAACUAUCUCAGGUCUUAAUAUAAACUCAACAUUAUAGAUUGCAUAUUAAUCGGAGACUAAUUAAACUUUUUCCAGUAAGCUACAAAAAUAUACUUAAAUAAUUCUUCGACUCUAAAUGGAUACUUUUUGGAAUGGUGUUGGAUGGGGAGGAAUCUACUAUACAUUUUUGCAGCAGUUUUUGGGGUAUCCAAAUCGGGUCAAAUUUAUUUAAUUUUGACCCGGCAAUCUUCAAUCGGAUCUUUCCUUAAAUUUUGGCAAAAUUAAAAAACGAAAAUAAUUAAUAAAAUCUAAAAUAUAUAUACUUUCUCAACUAAUUACUAUAUUUAAACGCUUUAUUUAUGGUAUAUUCUCCACGAUUUUUAUAGAUAAAGAAAUCAAAUAUGAUGAUUUAAUGCUAAUAUAACAAAUUUGCACUAAUUUCCUAAAACCUCUACCUAAUUUAAACAUAAAUAUAUGAUUCUUAUUUCACUUUUAUUUGAUCUUAUAUUUAUAUUAUUUUAAAUUAUUAUAAAAUAUAUAAAUAGUUAGUAAAUUUUAGUUUUUUUUUUCUGCAUAUGUUACAAUUCAAAUUUUUUUAAAAGGACAUAUAUUACUCAAUCGAUGAAUAAAAAUAUGUGUGUAAUCUAUAUUAACAUUUUUAAGAACAAAUUGAGCAUUUAAUCAUGUCGUUAUUUUAUUCAGACCCGAAAUUGAGUCAUUCGGAUCUUUCUUUAAUUUUUAUAAUUAUCUAAAAUGGGACAGUAUAUCACGGGUGAAAUCCUAAUUAGUAUUUUAAGAUACAAUUAUAAAUUGUUUUUACGGGUUGGUCCAAAAACACACACUAAUUUAAAAAUAUACAUGGAAACUAUUUGAAAGCAACUUUCAAAUUAACUCGAAUUAUAUAACAUUUAAAUAAAAGUGUUAUUAAAAAAAUAACAAAAUGAUGUUUAAUUUCAUUUUAGAUUAUAUGGUUGGACGGGUUUGGGUCAAUAUUAAUACGAGACAAUAUACCAAUACAACUUAAACAUUAAACAAAACAAAUACAACUUAAAUUUUUUUAUUUUAGAUACAACGCAUGUUACCCGCGGUAUACAACAAAAAAUAUUAUACACAAUAAAUUCAUCAAUUUAUAAAAAUAAAAAAAUCAAAUAAUUAACCCGCGGUGUACCGCGGAUCAUAACCUAGUUGAAGAGUUAAAAAUAUAUUAAAAUAAUCUCAAACUGGGUAAGAAAAAAAAAAAAAAAAAAAUUCUCUCAUUAAGUUUAGAGAGAUUACAUGCCACUUUCCAUGCACAAAAGUAGCAUGUAAUCUCUAUAAACUUAAUGAGAGAAUCUUUUUUUUUUUUUGGGUUCUUUCUUACUCACUCAAAAAUUUAGUUAAGUAAUAGUAUAUGAAAUAGAGAUACAUAAAUAUAUUUGACUACUAUAAUAUGCACAUGUAUUUAAAAGAGAAAUAUUGUAUUGAUUUUCUUUUUAAAAUAAACAGUAUUGUAUAUACAUAUGAUAUACUGUAUUGGAACAUAAACGUGUAUCAUGCAAGAGGAGUAACGUCUAUUUCAAUUAUGAUCUGAAACUCUGAAACUUUUAGUUUAAAUUUUUUAAGUUUUUAAGAAUUUGUUAAUAAAUUUAGAAAUUCUAUGUAUGAUUAGGAUUUUUAAAAAUAUACUUAGAAAAUUCGUUUUCUUUCCAUAUAAUUUAAUAUUUUUUAUUUAAAUACUAAUACUUUUUAUUAAAAAGUUGAAAAAAGUUAAAUAGACGUUAAAAAAAAACUAAUUUUUUUCAACUUUUUAUUAUAUUUAACGUCUAUUCUAAUAAACUAUAGAAUAUAUUAUAUUUCAUAGAAUUUUAACUCCACUAAUUUUUUUUGAUGCUCUAUAUGAAAUUGUGUUUUCUUAUAUAUCUUUGUUUUGCUUUUGGUUUUCAUUUAUCUUAAUUUUUACUGUUAUUUAUGUAUUAUUUAGAUUAUUUUUCAAAAUCAAAAAUCAAAAGAUAUGUUUAUUGUAUUAUAACAUUAUUCCAAAAGAUAUGUUUCUACUAUUUAAAAAUUAUUAUAUUUGUUUUAGUUAAUAUAAUAUUUAUAUAGUAGAAACAUAUCUUUUGGAAUAAUGUUAUAAUACAAUGAAUUAAAUAUAUAAGCGAUUCCACCACAUACCUAUUUUUCGGAAAAAAACGCAUCGGCGAUUCCAGAUGUUUCACUUUCGUGUACUCACUUCCAAUUUCAUGCAACCUACAAUCAAUUAUCAUUCAAGCUUAAUCGUAACAACUCCAAACAAGAAAAAACAUGCAUGCAAAUUCAGUCAUCUAUCGACAAUAUAUAUUAUUAAUGUGAUAUAAUGGAAUAAAAAUGGUAAGACCAAUGUAAUAAAUGAAAAAAAGGGACGAAUUUUUUUUUUUGGGUCAUUUCAUCAUCCAUAGAUAAUAAUUUUUUAGUAAGUCUCUAAUGUGUUUGUUAAUAGAAUUAAAGAAAGUAAAGAUCAAAAAAGUAUUACAUAGCAUCACAAAUUUUUCAUCAUGUGAAUUUCGAUUUUGGAAAGCAAAAGAAAUUGCUCACUAAUAAGAAUUUAGGAUAUAUAACUUCAAGAUCUUUAUUAUUGUAAAUAGUAGAUCCUUCGUGCUAGGUUAUUAACCAAAAAUAAAAACUUAUCUCUAGCAGAUUCGUAAUAGAUGAUUGAGUUUUGAAUUCCGGUCCAUAUUAUUUGACGGUAUGUCGAUUUUGGCCGCAUUUUGCAGUGGUUUCCAGGAUUCACUUUCAUUGGCGGUGCCGAUUUUCUUCAGAUAUCACUCCAAGGCAUUGAUGGAAAGAUGUUAUAUCUCCGUUGAUUGCAAGCCGAGCUUCACCAAAGAAGGCAACAAUAGUGUGAUUUUCUGGCGAUUUACUCUCUUUGAAAUAAUACUUUAAUUCUCACAGAAUCCUUUUUUUCUUUUGCGUUAUAGCGUGAUUUUUCACACUUCUCACGCACACGAUGCCUUUUAGUUUUAAAGUGAUAAGUGCGGUUACUUUUGUCGAUGCUUUCUAUCUAUAUCAAGCCACGCGUACGAUUCACGAUGACGUCUAUUGAUAGAAUACCUUCGAUUAAAUUUUUGUCGUCUUCAUAAUAAAUACCAUAUAUUGAACAAUCUUUUUCUUCGGAUUUUCAGAAAUUUUCACUUCAAUUACCUUUCUAGGUAAUAUCAUGACAAGCUAUCUUGCCCUUCAUUUGCCAUUUUCUAAGUUCAUAUUUUAUGUUCCAAAUUACAACUCUUUACUCUUGGCCACCAUUUGACACUUCGAGUAUGAUCGAUUCUUUCAAUGUUUUUUCAUAGGUUGACUUGACAACUUAAUCCUCUUGUAUAACCAAAAAUAUUCUUGUACACUAGGCUUCUUCUUCGACUAAUGUCAUACAAUCUACAUCUCACUAGACUCAUUGCGUCUACGUCAAAUUUCUCCAUCUUGAACAACUUAUGUUGGUGAAUUUUCUUACAUUUGGUAUUAGUUUUCUCAUAGAUAAGGUUAAUGUUCGGAAUGAUGCAGCUAAGCAGAGUCGGCCCUUGGGCCAAGCCCAUGAAACAUUUGCUUGUGAUCCUGAAUUAUAUAAAUAAUUUUUGGCUUUAAUUAUUCAUAUAGUUUACUUUAGUUUUGUGGUCUUGAUUUUUGUUUUGUGGGAGUGAUGUCUCCAAGCCCUUAGUAACAUUUUUUUUUAUAAAUAAAACAAUAUAUUAAAACAAAAAUUAGUUUACUUAAUGAAAACUACAAGACAAGGCAACAAUCUGUUUUUCGUUUCUCUCCUUUUUCCUCCUUGCGAUCGUCGUUGUUGUCUUUUCCAGACUCUCUUCAACCUUGCAAUUUCCAACAAGGCUGUUUUGGUUUUCUUGUCAAUUUUUAUUUAUCUAUGAAUAUGUAAACAUAAAACAUCCCAUUUUCUUUUAUUUGUUUCUGACCUUUCAAAACUUAGAGCCGGCUCUGCACCAAAGUCAAGAACUACACAAUCGAUCAAUCUAUCAACCAAUAAUAUGAGAUUGACAGUUUAUAAUCACAUCAUGAGUUUUACUUUGAUUAUAAUCGAUGCAUGCAUCAACAAUCACGUGUAUAUCUGCUUUCGCUCCAUCCUCUUUGUUCUCAAACAAUUUUCUUGAUUUACCAUGCUUUAACACAAUUUCAACACUUUCGUUAGUUGUUUUAUCUUGGACUUAACCCUUCCAAACUUUGAUUUUUCAAUUUUGGUUUAUGCUUAGUUUUCUACAUUGAGAACAAAGCUCAACACUGUCUCACAGAGUUGAUCUCUAAAAUCAUCGAAUUUAAAAAUCUGAUUACCCAACAAAUUACUAAUUUUUACCCUCAUUAGCUCAAAAGGGACUAGCAUAGACAAUACAAAACCAGUGCUCGCACUUCAUUUUCAAAGUUGAUAUACAUAACCACUUUUACCCAUCAUUAGGUGAACAAUUAUUUCUAUGUGACACACCUUAUUAUUAACUAAUAUAAUUUUAUAAUUUAUCUAAAGUUUUAGUUUAAGCAACAUAAUUAGAAUCUUUAUCGACAAAGGUCUUUUCUAGUUACUCUCCCUUCCAUUUGCCAUAGAGAUGGCAUGAAGACCACUAAUGCUUUGAGUAUUCUGAUUUCAACAUUGGUGAUUCUCCCAAUCAGAUUCAUACGGUUAACACCUAUAAAUAUGGUUUCUUCGGUGCCCAUGAUUAGUCUUUGGGCCUAGAAAGCUUUUAGAAUCACCUGAGUUGAUCAAUAAAAAGUUGUAUGCAUUUGGUAUCUGAAUGGGAGUUUCUUUUACCCAUCUAGCUACUAGAGUUUGCCAUUCCCUUUCCUUCUUAGAUUUAGAAUAGUGACGACUCAUAAUCAUAUAUAGAUGAACUUGGACUCCUUCAAUAUUAAGAUGGAGAGGAGCUUGUUCCCAAGGGAGAAAGCUCAGUAAUUAAUAAAGAGGAAGAGAAUAGCAACAAUUCCAUUAGUCUUUCUAGAGAUAUUUUUUAAGAUGAGUGUUGUGAGGUCAAAGUAAAAAGAUAGUCUUCUAAGCUACACUAAGAUUUUGAAAUAGUUAAAAAAAAAAUCAAAUAGGUGAAACAUGUAGAGGCUAAAGACAUGAUUCACACACAAAAUUUGAGAGAAGAUCGAGAAUGAGAUACGAUUGAUUUGCACUGGACAAUAAGAUAUGCGACACAAACACUCAAACUAGGACAAUGGAGGGAUAUCUAUCUCAAGAGGUGGAAGAGACGACCAAUCGAAGCUCAGAACUAGAAGAAGAGAAAGGCUAGCUAGAUUCAAGAAAUUUUUCAUGUAAGAUGACCUAGACACCUCACGAGUCAAGGGAAGGUGUACUUUUACCUAGGUGGCAAGGGACCGGAGGGGAGGAGAUGAGAAGAAAAAAGAAAACGACCGGUCGAAAAGCUUCGAUUAAAAAAUCGUUAAAAUCUUUUUAUUUUGGUAAUAGUAGUUUAGAAUGAAUAAUCUUUUGUAUUGUAUGAUAAAUUAUAUAUUUGAAAAAUAUGGAAACCUAUUUACCCUUCAAACUUAGAAAAUAAUUAAUUUCACAAUAUUAGUUGUAAAUUGCAUAUGUAAACACAAAAUCUAUUCUUUUCAUUUGCUUUCUUGUUUGUAAAUAAAUAUAGCCUCUGCUUGUACUAUUAAAGGAAAAAAAACAUGAUUCAAAGGUAAUGAAAUUUAAUAAGAUGAUCGAUAAAAAGAGCAGAGAGGACCACCUAGAGGGACAAAUCAAAAGGGACACAUCUUAUGUUUUCAUUUUUCAAUAUGAAAUAUAUAUGUAUACGUUUUGUUUGUAUGUAUUAUGUAAAUAUAGUGUAAAUGUGUUUUUUCUUAUGUACUAAGUAGGCAUUCUUUAAUGUAAGACCACUAAGGCAUGAUUUGGGUCUUUUUUGGGCUUAACCUUUGAUUUCACAUGAACUAGCAAAAUCCUCUGUAAAGAAAAGAGAUAUUGUUACUGUAAAAAAAAAAGAGGAGAUAGAUAUUGUAACGUUGAUUUGAUUUGGGGUUGGAGGUGAUUUUGUUAAUUGGUUCUUUCAACCAAAUGCUAAGAUGUUUUUUCUAUAUACUAACAAAACUCAGCUCAACUACGUAUAUAACCAAACUUUUGACAAAUGCGGACAUGGACACGAUCUGUCAUGCACUACAAAAAAAAUUAUAUAUAUUUUGACAAAGUAAUCAUAAGUCAUAACCAAAUAAGAGAAAAUUUUGGGUUGAAUUUAUUUUAUCUUAUUUUAAACUAUCAAAUAGAAAGAUUUUGGACUCAAUAUACUUGUUAGAUUGACUAACAAACAAUGACUAUUGAAUUGUAAUAUCUCCAAGUGGAUCGAACCCUUUACGAGAUGAUCAUUUAAAAGUAAAAACAGAAAAAUAUAUAAUUACUUGAAGGCCGCAAGCCCAAGCUUGUCUCGUUUGGGCUCAUGGACGACUGUGUCUAUAGUGCAUGAUAUCAACAAAUUAAACAACCAAAUAUCAACACAAAAAGUCAAGAACUACAUAUUUUAUUUGGCUGAUGAACAUAAAAAAAGAAAGUCAAAGAUACUUUACCAACAACUGUCAAAGACGAAUCGACCUUAGGAGCACGCUCGCUGUGUUUUACUUCAAGCACCUUAAUAUUUUUUACUCUGCUAAUGCACAUCAAGAGAAACAAUGCACCUCAAGAAAAACAUGAUACCAAAAUAACACAAAACAUGAAACUUUGACGCGUCAGCGAUCAUCCAACUCUUUAUAAAAAGGUAGCUCUCUAAGGAGCGCAGUCCUUGACCUCCAAUUUUUUUUUUAUAAGCUAUCACAGCAAACCUAAUUUUCUUUUGAAUUUCCACCACACACACCUUCUCAUUGCCAUCAACCUAUUGUAGAAUGUUGGAUAUAGGAAUGUUUACUCAAUAAACAAGGUUAUCCCAUUAGUGUACAAAAGUACAAUUGCAAAAAGGCUUAGCAGAUGCCAAGAAAACUUUUCACGAAUUGAUGCAACCUCCAUUAUAGAGCUAAACUGAUCACCCUUCCGGUCUCUAUCUUCAUAAAUAAUUUUGUUCUGAAUACGACAUCAUAUUGGUCAGGACAUACGUAGAUAUAAAUAUGUAAACACAUAUUCAAGUCAGUUGAAAGAGCUAAUUAACCUUUUUUCUCAUAAAUAACACUUAUGAAAGUUGUAGAUGAACAAGUCUAAUAGCUGAGUUACUCUUUAAGUGUAUAUGAGUUAGGAUAUAUCAAACCGCGCAUAAUAUGUACUUUAUGGGCUCAUCAGACUAAACUUUUCCAAAUACCACAACAGCGAAAGGCAGGCCUGACACUAAAGCGGGUGAAGCCAUUGUUUUAGGCAUCAAAAAGUAUAUAUAGUAGUAAAAUGCAUCAAUUUUGAAAAAAAUUCGUAGUAUCGUUGUUAAUUUCAAGGUACAUAUCAUUCUGGUGCAUGGUUUGAACCUCGGUUCUGUUAUUUUGUAAUUGAUUUUUUUAUUAAAUGGACUUAACGAUGUUUUAGGCAGCAAAAUCGGUUGGAUCAGCCCUGGCGAAAGGUUUGGUACUUUUUCAACUUUUUACCUGAGAGAACCAAAUGCUAAGAUGUGUUUUCUAAAACAUAAUUUUUUUUUUUGGGUGCACCAUAGAAUACUGAGUUUUACUAACCACAAAUUUUGCAAUCACAAAGUGUUACUAUUUCAUAAGACUAAUGAAUAACUAAAACAAACUCGCCAUUCCAUAGUUUUUAUGAAGGACUGUUUCAUAAGUUAUAUAUUUUAAUUAUUGGGAUUAUUACGGAUUUUACCAUUUGCACUCAAAUUUUAAGGAUUUGCAUUUUUUCGCACUUCAAAAUUAAUACAUUAAUGAUUUUUUUUAUAAUAUACAUUCUUAAUAACAAACAUUAAACUCUAAAAAAAGAAACCAAAUAAACUUAAGCAUAAUGUGAAAAAUUGUAUUUUUAGAUCUUUAAAAAUAGCAGAUCUAAAAAUUUGAAGGUAAAAUGGCAAAAUCAACAAAUAUAUUAUUAAGAAAAAGGGUUUUUCCCUAAUAGAUUCUUAUGUUAUUACUUAAAAAUGUUUGCACUAUGGUAUUACAUUUUUAUUGGUCUCUAUUUUUUAUAGUAAUUUACGAUUUCAUAGUUCUAAACAUUAUCAAUCAAAACGUCUGUGUAUAUUUGGUAGUAACUAACAAAUACAUCAAGUUAUUUGGCUUAAAUUAGUUUGGUUGGAAAAGUUAUAUAGAUGAGUUUUGUUUUUGAAAUUCAUUUGUCUAAUAUCUUUUGUAUUCAACAUUUAUUAUUUCUGCAUAUAAAGUAUAGCCUUAUAAGAGAUUCGACCUAUCAAAAUGUGUUUAUACAUCUACUGAUGACUUGAGAUUUCAAUCAAUAGAGUGAAACCAGCAAAUUACGGCUAGGAAAUGAUUUACGAAAACUCGAGAUGAUGAAGUGGAACAGGGGAGCUUCGGGGGACUGCGUUUUGUGUAACCAAUGCACGGAAACUCGAGACCAUCUCUUUUUUUCUUGCAGCUAUGCUUCGGAAGUCUGGGAGGCACUAGCUAAAGGCGUGUUUAGAUCUCAUUAUUCAACCGACUGGACCCAAAUCCUCCAUCAUGUCUCUGAUCACCAUCAAUGCCGGGUCGAGAGUUUCUUGACAAAAUACGUUUUCCAGGCCACUUUCUACACCAUUUGGAGGGAGCGGAAUGGCCGGAGACACGGGGAAGCGCCGAACAGUACGGCUCAGCUAACAAAGUGGAUCGAUGCUCAAGUUCGAAACCAGAUCACAACCAUUCGAAAACUGCCGGACCGUCGAUACGAAGCCUGUUUUCAAGCUUGGCUACAAAGCCGAAUAUAAGUCUUAGAAAUCUCAAACACAAUUUCAGUUCUUAAAUUUCUCAAACUCCCGAUGCACUAGUUGUAACAACGUAUAUUUUUUCUUUUGAAUAUAAUUUAACAUUAAAUUCAAAAAAAAUGAUUUACGAAAACAAAAACUGCAAUUAUGCUUAAUUUAGGGUAAUAAUGAAAAUUUGACAUAGGAUUAUAUAAAGGGGAAAGAGAGAGAAAUUAAGUGGUGGUCUUCACAUGGCAGCCAUUUUUAGAAUAUGAUGAGAUACAAGAGAUGAGUGGACCUAUCCACAAAAACAACAAUGCCAAUCCACCAAUAUUCCCAUUUAUAUCCAUACAUUCUUACAUUAACAUAUCAUAAAGAGUUUAAAUUAAACAAAACAUGUCUUGACAAAAUUAGACAUGAAUUAAUUGCCCCAAUUAGAUCUUCAACAUUCAGCGAACGAUUUUAUUUUUGGUAUUAACAUAAAUUUACUAAUUAUUAUUAUCUUUCUGAUCCACUAGUGGUACUUUUUUUGCAAUAAUAUUAAAGUGAUACUCUUCCAUGGUUAAAAAAAAACGAACUGUUUGUAAAUUUGUAAACUAGAUUUCUACAUUUAUGAAUGUAAGGAAUGAUUGCAAAGAUCCAUCUAACAAAAGAUGUAAGUCAUUUGUAGGAUAAUAUAAUAUUAUGGAUGUAUAGAAGAAUAUGCAUAAAAAAAAAAAAAAAAAAAAAAAAAAAAAAAAAAAAAAGAAGAAUAUGCAAUAAUAUGUAUUUUAUUAAUGUUUCUAUCCCACUGAUGUAUUUUACACUUCAAUUGCUAAUUCAUUCUAAUUUAGUUAUUGUUAGCUAAUUAAUUAGUCUUAUAUCAAAUAUUUUCUCUAAAAAGUAAAAACAACUAAACAAAAGUUUGGUGGUCAGAGCCUCAGAGGCAAGGAAGUGA
rnacentral:lncRNA from 1 species